GCUCUGUUUGGGAUGUUGAGAAGGGAAGAAGAGGAGACAACAUGGUUUUCUGAUGUUCCAUUGACUGGAAGUUCUCGGAGAGAGUUUUUCAGGUUUACCAUCUUGCAGUCCCCAAGCUGGACACCAGACACACUAAAACAAAUGUGCCUACACCCCUGUCACAGGUUCACAGCUGCCUGCUCACAUUCCUCAGCAGGCAGGAGUGACUGACGAGCUGCCUGGAACGGCAGCUGAGGCACCCAGAGACCCGGUGUCUGUGAACAGGAUCCAGCGCUUCCUUUCCCAAACCGCACCAGCGCCUGCCUGGGCUGAGCAGCAAGAGAGACAUCUGUGAUAUCUGAUGACAAUCAUCUCUGAUUAGACUGUCACUGCAUAGCACAGGCAAGCCGAGGCCACAGCUAAUUAGCUAUGUGAGGCCAGCACUCUGUUUACUGGAACCGUAUUAACAAGUUGCAGCUUUUUGCAACACAGAAGAGUCAUUGCACAAAUGCCAGCCGGGAACCCUUCACUCCAACAGUUUAGGGACAAAGCUGCUGCUUCCUAACUAUACUACAACCAUGAAACAUUAAUGUCUCUGUGCCGAGAGCCAUUUUCAGGCCAUGUUCCCACCUUCUGUAAGCUGUCACUUCAAAAGACACUAGGAUAUGUUGCUUUGUAGAAUCUGAUAUUAUUCUAAGUGGGUUUGUACUUUUAAAUGAACAUCUCUUCCUUUUUCUUUUUCAGCAGUUCUUGGGCUAUGUCAGGGCACCAGCUAAGUCUGAGAAAUGUAGCUAAGAUUGGCCUUCUCAUUUGAGCUACAAGGGAAAAGAAGCAGAUGAAAAGACUAGAAACUUCGUAGGAAUUAAGGACACACGAUCUAUCUUAGCCCAUCAAUGUUUGAUAGAUUUGAUCUAUUGUUCAUAAACAUAAUGCAUAUAAGGAUGUAUUUCCAGUUUUUGCUACAGAACCAGUAGAGCUAGAGUUAUUUUCAAAACAUUUUUCUAAGCUUUUUUCAACACAAGGGAACAUUUCCAUAUAAGUUCUCCUUCACCCAUUAGAGGGGUUUCUCUGCUAACUUCAAGAAACGAUAUGCUAUUUUGUAGCUUCCAUUUCCUUUUGAAACAAAUGUAUCUAUCUCAUGACAAAUGAACUAGGAACAUUUGUUGCGAGGGGGGGGGGGCAGGGGGGAGGCCGAUAUAUUUUAUCUUUAUUAUUAUUUGAGCAUGGAUUCAAUGUACUUUUAUAUCUUGGCAUUUAGGAAAACUCUGGAGUAUUUUGCAAAGUUAAUGAAAAUUUAGCAAUAUCUUCCCUUGGAUUACUUCUACCAGAAGCCCAGAUUCCUCUAAAUGGUCUCAUUUUUUUCAUAAGGCAAAUCUACCACCUACUCUUAAAAGUUCCCAAUUUUCAGUCAAAGUUAAGACCGGUGUUUUGUUGAAUUCCUACUCUCCUUCUUUUAGUCAAAACCAGUUUGGUCAGAGACUUUCAGAAAACAGAAUUUCAGAAUAAUUCUAAAAGUCUGCAUGUUAUUAUGUAAGUGGAUGACUUUUCACGGGCCCUAACACUUGAAAUUGAUAAAUAUUCUUACUCAUUUCCCAAGGAAAACUAUGGAUUAUACAACUUGAAAAUAUGUGCAGAGGUCCUAGCACCAUAGUCUAAAAUGCAAUCUAUUGGGAAUAUAAAUAUUUUCAAUAACGUCUAUUAUGGAUGUGGUAUUUAAUUUUGGCACUAUUUCAAAUUCAGUUAUUGACAUUUAUCAUCAAAAGCACAAUUCAGAAUGUGAAUUUGUAAAUUCACAUUCACAAUUACAAAUUCACAAAUCUCCAUAUGUAGAAAUUCACAAAGUGUCUCCGGCAUGUUCAUUCAUUUUGUUUACAACCAUAAUUUAAAACAAGCAAACUUUUUCUCUUAAUGAAAGUGGUUUUUUUUUUUUUAAACUUUAAACAAAAUUUCCUCUCCAGGUGGAAAGUUGAUUACCAAUCUUUGGUCUGGAGGUAAAUUUUACAGCUGUUUUAAACCCAUGAAAGUAAGUCUUAUAUUAGAAGUGCUGACACAACCUUAUCCACAAUGUACCGACAUGAACUAUCCCGCUGUAAUAAGCAGUUAUUAUGUAUGUGUAAAAAUAAUGAGAGGCCGUGUCUGAAGAGAGUUAAUGUAAAAUGCUAAGCAAUUAUAGUUGGUUACACAGUAUAGGUUAAUAUUCCUUCAUAUAGCCGCACUUUUUUCUUCUUUUGUCCUCCAGAACUCCUAAUGAAAAUUUUGAGACCUGACUGUAAUGAUAAGCAGCCAUUCACACGUCCUUUGUGUCAAGGCUCUUGCAUUAAUGCUUCCCUUCAUAUAACAUUUUGCAUAGCCUAAAGCAUCUAUUAAAAUCCUUUGUAAAAUUCAUGAAACAAAAGUGGUGGGUUGAGUCUAGGGGGAGAGAAAGUAAGCUGCUUAUUAGCAAAAAGUCAAAAACACAGGGCCAAUUACAGAUCGGAACAAGCAGGGCUAAGGACCAGCGCAGGGAGCAAUUCUUUCUUCAGCCCAAUGGGCUCAAGCGAGGGGCAGGUUGGGUGAAAAUAUAGCAACAGUCGGAGCAGUAAUUAAACGGCGAUGUUUGCAGUUAGAAACAGCUCUAUAACAACGGAAGGAAAUGCUCAACUAACACCAUUGUCUGGCCUCACAAGGAUGCUAAAUUGGAAGGAUUUAGGGUUGCUCCCUAAAGAAGAGACUGGGGGUAGUGAAGAGGAGCAGGGGCUCAGGAGAUAUGUAAAGAAUCUGUUUGGUAUUUCAAAUGUUAUAAAUUAGAUUUUUUAAAAAGAGAGGGAGAAAGCGUGUGAGCCUUUCUCCCCACCCAGCAACAUAAAACUGAAUAAACCACAAUAAGAUUGCCCUUUUUCUGUUAUAAACUUGGCAUUAAGCCUGUCAUGUUCAAUGACAGCCUACUAGGCCUCAUGCUUUACCCUUUGGAAUUUGAAAGAUUGGCAGGUGUCAUGAUUUCCUUAACACAAUAGACCUUGCAGAUAAUGUUCACCAUGCACAUUUAUACUUCCAUAACUCCACUUUCCGCAUUUCGGCAUCAUCGGGUGAGCUUUCUAUGCAGGCUGGUGGUGCGGGGGCUGCCCAGAAGCAUAUCUGGCCUGAGGACAGUGUUUACUACCAAAGGAGCUUGCGGUCGAGGCUGUCCUUUGAUGAUUUGCUUAGCAGUCUAAACAUGCCCCAUUUACAAUAAUGAACUGCUUUGUAGAAAGCGGCUCUCUCAGAGCAUUGUUACUUUUCCUUGCAGUGGUGAAUGCAACCAGAAUGGCUCUCGUCUGACUUAAGGUUAGAAACGGGGUUCCAUUUAAACAAUAAUCCCCUCUCUUUGCAACUCCCUACCCCAGCUGUAUCCUUCCAAUAAGUCUAAGAGAAAAAAAAAAUCAACAUCGAGGGAAACACAAACCCCUAUUGAAGACUGAGAGUUCCAUUUCAACAUGCAUCGCCUAAUGGCACCUGUUUGUUACCACCCAAUGUCACUGUAAAAUAAACAAAUGAGUCUUUUCAGAGGAAUCAGUGGCCAGAAAGAGAAACUGACACUUUUUUUCCAACCCAAAGAGAGGGAAUGAGUAGUUGGCUAGGUACGAGCCAUUUAACAAAACAGUUUCACAUGAGAAAUUCAAUAAAUCUGCCCCCACACAUUUUAAACUUUUUAUUGUAGAAAAAAUUUAAAUAUACAAAAGGAGACAGAAUAAUACAAUAACCCCCAUGUACUCAUCACCCAGCUUCAACAAAUAUCAUCUCAUUCUCAUGGCCAAUCUGGUUUCACCUAUAACUCCCACUUGCUCCCCACCUUGCACUGUUAUGAAGCAAACCCUAGGCAUCAUUUCAUUGAUCAUACCUGUAAACAUUUUAGCUAUCUCUAAAAGAUAAGAAUUCUUUGCCAUUUUUUUUUUAACAGGUCAAGGAAAUAUUUGAACCUCAAGCCUUAAAGAUUUUUGUCGGCAGUUUUUCCCAUGAGCUGCAUUUCUCAAAAUAAUACCAUUCCAUCGUAUGUUGAAAGUGUAAAGAAAAAUUCAAGAGCAUCGCUAGUCUCUGGUUUGUUUCAGAGGAGUGUUUUUCUCACUUAUUUCAAGGAUUUAGGUGGCUGAACUUUUUUUCUGUGAGCCAUUGUCUUAUUAUUUGUAAACGAUCACUUUUGGCAUUCAAAUAUAAUCACAUAUUUCAAGGUACGUAUCUUCGUAGAAAUUGGUUCCACAAAAAGUUUGACUCAAAAGUGUGCACUGACUACUUACUAUAUGCGGAGCUUUGCGUUAGGUACAGGAAGAAAGAAACGGCCAGGCAAAGAAUGCAAGACAGGCGAAACUGACUCAUCUCUCUCUCACUGACUCAUCUCUCUCUCACUGACUUCCAAACUUUGUUGGACAUCUUACAUGGAUUAUGCUAUUCAAUUGCCUUUUAUAUUGAUAAAUGUUGCUAAAUAAGCAAAUCUUUUUAUAAGAAUGGCAAAAAUUUGCCCUAUCAAACCCAUAUACCAUUUUUGUUUCCUUAAUCGUCCCCAAAGAUAAAUUUGCUACUCAGAUAUAAACCGUGACACGCUUCCUACUCGGUAAAGAGGACGACCUAAGCCUUGCAAAGAGAAAAUCUCACUGAUAAAGAAACCGUAAAUGUACAAAAAUGAAUUAUCAUAUUUUUAAGAACUUCUACCUGGAUUUCUCUUUUUAAUGAAAGACAAACGUUUCUUUCUCCUUUAGUUUCUUGCAUUUACAUUCUCAAUAACAGCCAAAAAUUACAACCAUUUAUAAAUGGCAACAUUUUAUCUCUGAUUUCCUUAGAGAACCAGAGGGGGUAGACUUGGUUAUUUGGCUUGGCAAGAUGAUAUAAUUUUUAAGGGCACGGAAGAUACAGAUCCUUUAAAAAAAAGUUUUGUUGUAAUAUACAAAAGAACAUCUGUAACAUAAAUUUGAGUUAUAAAUCAUAAUAUUAAAAUGAACACCUAUGAAUUCAAAAACUAUAUCACCACCAAAACCUUUGACACCUCCCAUGUGUCACUAUCCCAUCUCCUGAGGUAACUUAUAUCCUGAACUUUGUAUUUAUACCAUUUCCUAGAUUUUUAAAAGUCUAAUUUUGUUAUAUAUGUAUAUACCACUACAAUUGUUUAGUUUUGCUUUAUUAUAAAAUAUCGCAUCAUAUAUCACCUUUUGAAACUUUCUUUUCUCAGUCAACAUUUUAUCUCAAAGAUUCAUUCAUAAUGUCAUUCAUAUCCCUCUACUACACAACUCUCCAUCGUGUGAAUAUAACACAAUUAUUUAUCCACUCCCCUGGCAAUAGGAUCUGAGUGGUUUCAAGUGUUUCUGUUUGUUUGUUUGCUAUUAUUACAGAUAAUGCUGUUAUGAACAGUCUUGCCUUGUCUCCUGGUACAUAUAUGCAAAAAUUUCUCAAAACUGAUUUUUUUUUCCUCCUAAAAAUCCCAAGAAUGGCAGUGGGGGAAUGUACUGCUUCUCUUCCUGCUAGAAAAGCCCUAUUAAGUUCCACUAAUUAAAUUAAUUUGAAGUUAAAAAAUAGAUCUUAAGUCAUAGUUUUUAUGGAAGUAGGACAAUGGGAUGAUGACUCAACAAGAGGAAGAUUUUGCAUGGAUUGAAUCAUGGGAGAAUGCGAGAACAAACCAAGAUAGACAUGUCAGAGGUUUCAGAAGUAAGGACCCCAAACCUGCUAAAGGCAGCCAUGCUGAUAGUGGUUUAGCUCCAUUUGCUAAAAGUGGUCGAGUUAAUAGGAAGAGAGCACGAAAGGAAAUGAAGUCAUUCCAAGCCAAAUGAAUGUGGGAACUUCACUUAGGGUUACCUUCCUUUUUUUCCAAGAGAGCAUCAUAAACAAAACAAAAGGAAAAGAAACCCCACAUGGUUUCUAUCUCUGGAAUAGUAAACAAAAAUGCAUGUUUGGCAAAAUAUCUCAGAAUUUUUUAAACUAUUAUCUCCCUAUAGUUUCGCUAACAUGUUAACCUACUUAGAGCAAUUAGUGCUUCAUUAGGAAGGCUAACUAACUGUUGCCGGGCCCUGUAAUGAUUUGCCAGGCUUUCCAGAUACAAGUGCAUAAUCAAUGUUUUCCAAUUACUUCUAUAGUGCAACCACUAUUUCAAAUAAACUAGAUAAUAAUACAAACCCAUUACUGGAGCCGAAGUAGCAGAGGCAUUUAAUUGCAAGGCAGUUCUUCUCAGCUUUUAAAAUUUUUCACACUAAUGAAGUGUCAUACAAAAAAGUUGUAUUGAUUUUUCCACCACAUGGCUUCAACCACAAAUAUGUAAUUAUCCCUUUUAUAUCUAGCUGGGGGAUUAAAAUAAUCUAUAGUAUAUAGCCUUUACUUAUCCCUGAUGGGUUUGGUAGUACUUUUACCCUUUUCAAAAUAUGCAGCCCUUUGAUGAAUGAACUUUAGGCAAAAUGUUGCUUUAUCUGUUCCAAAUCUUUGCUUUUUAAAGUCAGUUUGUGUGCAGGCAUUAAAAUCUGAAAUCUCAAGCUUCCAAAACCUCCUAAAGAACACAUUCUGAUAGAAUGUAAUUUAAAGCAUCAUAGAUAUUUUUCUCCACUAAAGAAAUCAACUUGGGCAUAUAGUAUUGCACAUUCUGUGAUACCCACAUUUGCAUUUCACUAUAGAUACAUUUUUAUUUAUAGCUAACAUUUUAUUAACUAUGUUAUAUUUUUACACAAAUAAAGUGGACUUGGCAUUAACUGGAGCCAAUUUUUCCCUGGUCUUCAGAAAAAAAAUGUAGGAAUAAUCCAUCGGCAUUAAAUUUCUUAUUUUCUCAUCACAGUUUGGUCAAUAAAGGAGGAAAAAAGUACUUUCUUUAUAAAAAGAGAAAGUCAUUAUAAGUAUAAAAUGAAUUUUACAGAGAUCGAGAAUUAAUGCUGGGAGCAUAGGGCUUUUUAAAAAUUAGCCUGUCCUUCCUGAUCUUUUUACACAUAAAUUGGUCUCUUUCAACAUUUUUGCUGAGAAUUCUUUUGGUUACACUUUAACAUUAUUUCAAUUAUGGUCAGUGUAAAAAUAGAUUCCAAAGGUAAAAAACACAGCUUAAAUGUCUACAAGACCUUGUUCUUAACAUUCAUAUGUCAAAAACUGUCUCUCUCUAUAGUUGCAGUAACAUGUUAACACGCUUACCACCCUGAGCUUUCCCAGAUGCAAGGAUUUUCGUGAUUUCCUGCCUCUCUGUGUUUUGUGGUUUAAGGAAACGUUCAGAGUCAAAUUAAUACACUAUAUUUCAGAGUCUGAAAAUUCUGUCAAGGUGACUGAGAAUAUUAAAAAAAUGUUAUGUUAACAUUGGAAAAUCCUGAAGCAAAAAUUUAGUGGUGUAGAGAUGUAAACAAUUUUUGUGUGACAUUUAGGUAUUUAAUGGUAACUUUAAAAAUUUUCCAAGCAGAGCAUUUAUGGACAAAGAACUAACUAAAAAGAAUUGCUUUAUGCUGAGAAGAGCAGCCUAAAAAUAAAAAUACCCAAAGUUA
ensembl:lncRNA